UGUGCUCCCGAUGCACACACACUGGUCUCCAAGCCUGUGUGCCCUGUGGUACACACCGCAGCACGGAUCCACCCCGUGAGGUGUGUAUGGUGGGAGGGGGUGGGAAGGAGGGGCAGCCGGAGGGACAGUGGCUGUUCUAUUUUUACUGGCCAGUUGCCGGAGGCCACAGUUUUCAUAGCCUGCCCUCAGCUCUGCCCCCUCAGUCUGCAGUCUGUGCUGAGGCUCAGGCCAGCCUGGCUCCACGAGGACUAAACCAGGCGCAUUUGGCUCUCUGCCCAUCUCAUCUGCACAGAACACGAGCAGGUGCCGCCUUGCUGCCACCAUGCCGGAAGUGUAAGUUAUCCCCAUGCAGGGCUCCUGGGAGCCAUGUCUCCCUUCACCACAGACUUCAGCCUGACAGUUGGGGACAGCCUGGUUCACCCCUCCCCAAGCCACUCCCAGCAGCAGCUCCAGAGAUAGGCAUGGACUUUAGUGCCUGGUCCACACUCGCUGCUUCCCUGAGGGGUCCAGUUCUCUAAGCUGAGCAAAGCUCACUCCCAGGUCACCCUGGAGGACGUGUUUUGCCUGUGCUUCAGAGAUGGCUUGUCAGUACUGAUCGAUGAACUGGGCACACUAGAUUACCACAUCAUGUGAGCAUGGCAAAUCGAUGCAGGCCCAGGGAUAGAAGUUUUUGCUUUAACUGUGGCCUUCUAUCAAAGCUUAUGUGGCCUCCCACUAGAUCCCCUACAUCUAUGAAUGACCAACAUCUCCCAGAAAGUCCAGUAGCCUAGAAGGUUGCUGGGUUUUUAUACUCUUAUGUUCUGAAACCCUGAAGUGGUUCCCCCUGCCCUAUGGCUGAUGUCAUUCAGACAUGUUGUCGCUACCUGUGCCCUCCUCUCCAAGCAAAUCUGCUUGGUUCUGUGGCUGCUCAGGUCGUGUGUUUUGUUCCAACUCACUCUAUGCUCUGCUCUUUCCUCCGGUCCUU